rnacentral:rRNA from 1 species
AUAACUAAGGGAUAAUCCGUAGAAAUGCGGUCUAAUACCUUAUGUGUUCCGACGAAGACAUCUGAAUUGGAAUAAAGAUUUAUCGGUUAUGGAUGGGGAUGCGUCUGAUUAGAUUGUUGGCGGGGCAACGGCCCACCAAGUCUACGAUCAGUAGGGGUUCUGAGAGGAAGGUCCCCCACAUUGGAACUGAGACACGGUCCAAACUCCUACGGGAGGCAGCAGUGAGGAAUAUUGGUCAAUGGGCGAGAGCCUGAACCAGCCAAGUAGCGUGCAGGACGACGGCCCUAUGGGUUGUAAACUGCUUUUGUAUGGGGAUAAAGUGCUCCACGUGUGGAGUUUUGUAGGUACCAUACGAAUAAGGACCGGCUAAUUCCGUGCCAGCAGCCGCGGUAAUACGGAAGGUCCGGGCGUUAUCCGGAUUUAUUGGGUUUAAAGGGAGCGUAGGCCGUGGAUUAAGUGUGUUGUGAAAUGUAGGCGCUCAACGUCUGACUUGCAGCGCAUACUGGUCCACUUGAGUGCGCGCAACGCGGGCGGAAUUUGUCGUGUAGCGGUGAAAUGCUUAGAUAUGACGAAGAACCCCGAUUGCGAAGGCAGCUCGCGGGAGCGCAACUGACGCUGAAGCUCGAAAGUGCGGGUAUCGAACAGGAUUAGAUACCCUGGUAGUCCGCACGGUAAACGAUGGAUGCCCGCUUUUCGGUCAUUAGACCGUGAGGCCAAGUGAAAACAUUAAGCAUCCCACCUGGGGAGUAC